CCCAGCAAAGUUAAAAAGUUCUUCAUUCUCUAUCUUCUUUGUUGUCCCCAUUCUUACAAAUUCACCUUGGGCAAUUUUAGAUACUAUCUUGAACUCAUCUUGGGUCACCUGGACCAGAUAGCUUGUAGACACAUCUGCUGGCUUCAACUGUUUUAGGAAUGUUCUACUUCGGCCUAGGAGAAAUUGCCUGACGGUUGAUGGAUGUGUCACACCAGUGUAAAUGCUACCUUCCUGGGAGACAUAAUAACAGCAAAGUUAAUGGAUGUCUAUCUUCAGAACUGAUGAUUGUCUCCUGCCUAAAGCCUUUCUAAUCUUGGGCCCAAACAACAAGACCUAUAAUCUUAUUGGGACCAUCAUGGUCUUAGGUGACAUGUGAUUUUAAUAUCCAAACUAAGG
rnacentral:lncRNA from 1 species